CCACAAAGUUUAAUUAAUCGUUUUAGCAAAAAAAUGUAUUUUACUCCCCAAAUAAUUUACACCAAAAUAAUAUAGAAGUUUCUAUAAAAAGGCGCGAAGCGUGGCCAUGCGGUUUACUGCUAGACUACUGGAGCGAAAAGUGCAAAACAUUGCUGGUUGUUUUUCCAAAGUUAAAUCGUAUUCACAGAAACUCACAGAAAAUUGGACUAGUCAAAAAGUAAAACAGUAAAGUAAAAGUCACUUUCUAAAAUAAUAAAGUAGCACUAGCACAUGAAACUGGGAAAGGCUUGCGACAUCAGUAUUUACAUCAAAAGUAAACACAACCAACACUGAUAUGCUUUUCUACGACAUUCAUUUCUCAAGGUUAACCGUUUCUCCUGCACGUUCUUCUCUUGCAUCCUUGAUGACAUUAUUGUUGCCUGAAUCACUCAACAGAUUGAUUCCAGAUUCUCUAUCCCUGCUUGAUUGUACGGUUCCAAGCUCUAUUGAUUCCCUUUGUUCGUUCUGACUCUUACACAGCUUUGGGACCUCGACUACUAAUAUUGGUAACAAAAUAAUAAAUGCGACUAUAACCCCAAUCAACCACCAAGCACAAAACUUGCAAAGAUUUGUUCGAAGGUGGUGGUCUACACACGCAGUCAGGUUGGUGGGCAGACACAUGUGUUGUUUCAUUUUGUAAACUUCUGUUCUGCGACAAUUAUCUCUAAUAUAUGUCCCAUUUCGCUUUAUCCACGCUUUGCCAAAUGCAUCAAUGUUUUCACUCUAAAAAAUUGAUACUUUACUAAAAUUCAUAUUGAUACUUUACCUUUUCCUAAAUUAAAGGUAUUCUAAAUAGUUGCAAUUAACAAAACACUUAGAUAUUUA